rnacentral:rRNA from 1 species
CUACGGGCGGCUGCAGUCGAGAAUCUUCCGCAAUGGACGAAAGUCUGACGGAGCGACGCCGCGUGCGGGAUGAAGGCCUUCGGGUUGUAAACCGCUGUCAGUGGGGAGGAAAUGCAUCAGGGUUCUCCCUGGUGUUUGACCGAUCCGCAGAGGAAGCGCAGGCUAAGUUCGUGCCAGCAGCCGCGGUAACACGAACUGCGCGAACGUUAUUCGGAAUCACUGGGCUUAAAGAGUUCGUAGGCGGCCUUUCAAGUCGGGUGUGAAAUCCCUCGGCUCAACCGAGGAAUUGCGCCUGAUACUGUUGGGCUUGAGGGGGAUAGGGGUGAGCGGAACUGAUAGUGGAGCGGUGAAAUGCGUUGAUAUCAUCAGGAACACCGGUGGCGAAGGCGGCUCACUGGAUCUCUUCUGACGCUGAGGAACGAAAGCUAGGGGAGCGAACGGGAUUGGAUACCCUCGUAGUC